CGUGCUAAGGUAGCAUAAUCAUUUGCCUUUUAAUUGAAGGCUAGUAUGAAUGGAUAAAUGAGGAUUUAGCUGUCUCUUUUAUAAAAAUAUAAAUUAAUCUUCAGGUGAAGAAGCCUGAAUAAUAAUAAAAGACAAGAAGACCCUAUUGAGCUUUACUUUAACUCUAAUAUAAAAAAUAUUUAUAUAUUAAAAAUAAGGGCUGUAAGUUUGGUUGGGGCGACAAGGGGAAAUUUAAAUCUCCCCAUUAUCUAUAGAUUUACAGAUCAAUUAAUGAUCCGAUAAUUAUUCGACCAGAGGAAAAAGCUACCAUAGGGAUAACAGGCUAAUUCUUCUAAAGAGCCCACAUUGAUAGAAGAGAUUGGCACCUCGAUG
rnacentral:rRNA from 1 species